rnacentral:rRNA from 1 species
CGAUACGUAGCCGACCUGAGAGGGUGAUCGGCCACACUGGAACUGAGACACGGUCCAGACUCCUACGGGAGGCAGCAGUAGGGAAUCUUCCGCAAUGGGCGAAAGCCUGACGGAGCAACGCCGCGUGAGUGAUGAAGGUCUUCGGAUCGUAAAACUCUGUUAUCAGGGAAGAACAAAUGUGUAAGUAACUGUGCACAUCUUGACGGUACCUGAUCAGAAAGCCACGGCUAACUACGUGCCAGCAGCCGCGGUAAUACGUAGGUGGCAAGCGUUAUCCGGAAUUAUUGGGCGUAAAGCGCGCGUAGGCGGUUUUUUAAGUCUGAUGUGAAAGCCCACGGCUCAACCGUGGAGGGUCAUUGGAAACUGGAAAACUUGAGUGCAGAAGAGGAAAGUGGAAUUCCAUGUGUAGCGGUGAAAUGCGCAGAGAUAUGGAGGAACACCAGUGGCGAAGGCGACUUUCUGGUCUGUAACUGACGCUGAUGUGCGAAAGCGUGGGGAUCAAACAGGAUUAGAUACCCUGGUAGUCCACGCCGUAAACGAUGAGUGCUAAGUGUUAGGGGGUUUCCGCCCCUUAGUGCUGCAGCUAACGCANGAAGCACUUCCGCCUGGG